AGUGAACGCUGGCGGUAGGCCUAACACAUGCAAGUCGAACGGCAGCACAGAGGAGCUUGCUCCUUGGGUGGCGAGUGGCGGACGGGUGAGGAAUACAUCGGAAUCUACUCUGUCGUGGGGGAUAACGUAGGGAAACUUACGCUAAUACCGCAUACGACCUACGGGUGAAAGCAGGGGACCUUCGGGCCUUGCGCGAUUGAAUGAGCCGAUGUCGGAUUAGCUAGUUGGCGGGGUAAAGGCCCACCAAGGCGACGAUCCGUAGCUGGUCGGAGGGGCUGAUCAGCCACACUGGAACUGAGACACGGGCCAGACUCCUACGGGAGGAAGAAUGGGGGAAUAUUGGACAAGGGGCGCAAGCCUGAUCCAGCCAUACCGCGUGGGUGAAGAAGGCCUUCGGGUUGUAAAGCCCUUUUGUUGGGAAAGAAAUCCAGCUGGCUAAUACCCGGUUGGGAUGACGGUACCCAAAGAAUAAGCACCGGCUAACUUCGUGCCAGCAGCCGCCGUAA
rnacentral:rRNA from 1 species